rnacentral:lncRNA from 1 species
CGGGCCAAAACCUGUGGUGUAAUCUACCAAGGUACGUUUAGCACAACUUUCUCCUUCACCAGUGUGGGAAGCCAUUGUGUUGAUCUCUAGAGAAGGUUCUCUGGAUAAUGUGUUUGUCCUUGGCCUUCUAUUGGUCUCAAACCCUUUAAGAAGAGGUUCAUAAUUUUUGCUCCUGGUUUUGACACAAUCCUGCACAAACAAACAAACAAAAUACUAGAAGAUAUUGUUAGCACAAAAAAUAAAAUGCAAUAAAACAAAAAUGGAAAUUAGGCAUUUGAAAGAUAAAAAUAAAAAUCAAAAUAAAAAUGGGAAGAAUAAAAUAAAAUAAAAUAAAGCCAAAAUUAAUCAAGAUUCACACAAAUAAAAUAGCUUAAACCGUGAGUCCCCAACAACGACGCCAAAAACUUGUUGGGGCAAAUCGGCAAGUGUACCGAGUCGCACAAGUAAUAUAAAAUGGUAAGACCAAGUAUCGUAUCCCAGAGGAC